rnacentral:rRNA from 1 species
UCUACGGGCGUCAGCAGUGAGGAAUAUUGGUCAAUGGGCGCGAGCCUGAACCAGCCAAGUAGCGUGAAGGAUGACUGCCCUACGGGUUGUAAACUUCUUUUAUAAAGGAAUAAAGUGAGGCACGUGUGCCUUUUUGUAUGUACUUUAUGAAUAAGGAUCGGCUAACUCCGUGCCAGCAGCCGCGGUAAUACGGAGGAUCCGAGCGUUAUCCGGAUUUAUUGGGUUUAAAGGGAGCGUAGAUGGGUUGUUAAGUCAGUUGUGAAAGUUUGCGGCUCAACCGUAAAAUUGCAAUUGAUACUGGCAGUCUUGAGGACAGUUGAGGUAGGCGGAAUUCGUGGUGUAGCGGUGAAAUGCUUAGAUAUAACGAAGAACUCCGAUUGCGAAGGCAGCUUACUAAACUGCCACUGACGCUGAGGCUCGAAAGCGUGGGGAGCAAACAGGAUUAGAUACCCUUGUAGUC